CUUAGGCUUCUGUUUCACACUUCCGACGGCUCUCCCAUAGGCAGCACUGUCCUGGACUCUCUCCAGACAUAGUCUAUUGAGAUUUUGGCCGUGACUUUGCUUCCCAUCCAUUCUCUUUCCAACUUGCUGGUCCCAGGAGGCUGCCAAGCAGGGACCAGCACCUUCCGGUGUGUUUCUAACCCCAGGAAUCGACGGAUUCGUCUUCUUCACCGGGUCAUGCAGAGGCAGCUGUGAAUUCACUAGUUUUGUAUAACGCCAAAUUUAUUUAGCAAUCUGUAGGAGAAUCAACAUCUUGGACAUGUGUUUCAUUUUAGCAUGCCGGGUGAAGAAGGAGCCUCCUGGGAUUCCAUUUUGAUACAGGGCAGCCAUCCCAGACCUCACUUUUUUUUUACAGCCAGUUGUAGCUGCUCACCAGUGCUCUCCUCACACCAGGCAAGGGCUGCGAUCCUAUGUUCUUGGCAACUGAACUGAACCACAUGUAUGAUGUUACUUGUACAGCUUGAAAAUGCAUCUAAGAUUUUGUGUAUGGCCAGCUUCUGAAUGAACAUUCAAUAUGGUUAAAUAAGAACAAAGUGGAAUGAACAUGUUCCAUUACUAACUCUUCAGGGUCGGGGCACACAGGGAAUUCAUUUUCUUGAGUAGGACUGUUCAACUGCAUCAAAGCGACCCCACAGUUGUAUGGGGCAUUGGUUUCUUACUGAGGCUCUUGUUCAUUCUGUUGGUUUUACAGUUCUACCUGCCCAAUCCUGGGACCUCAAGAGCAAGCUUUGGGUGUCACCUAGGGCACGUUUGUGGGUGGGGCUAGAGAGAACCUGUCUUUACCAAUUAUCACGUUAUUCUCUUGGGUCAGGUCAUGCUGAUAAAUCCAGAAGUGCACUAGGUGUUUUUAGCCUCUACAAAUGGUAAUAGCCACAUUUUCUGCCUUCUGCAUGAAGUGACAGAUUUAGAUACGGGGCAGUAAAAAGUACACUAUUAAAAAAAAUCUGAACACGCGAUGAAAGAUCUCAACCCUUCAAAAGCACAAGUCUAAGAAGUAUUUGUGCUCAACACUGGGGAAAGCAGUGAAAAACAAAUUCAUGCUAUCAAGAGACUUUGGGUCACUCAUUAAGCACCAACUACAGCAGGGUCUUAGCACAAAGCUUGCCCAGAGAGGCAAACUCUAAAGUACUUACGUAGAGUCAGUGUCUUUCUCUUUCUUCCGUAUUCCAAAGGCCUUCCUUGUGCGUUUUUUCAGUCCUGUGGGAAGAUAGCAAAGGGUCAGAAAGCAGCCAGCAGCACAGGUAUCCUGGAAGGGGCAGCCAGGCCUGGUGACCUCUACCACACACACGACUCCAGAAACAGAGGCCAGGGACUUCAAAUUCAAUGUUCCUUCUUUGCUACAGAGUGAAUUCAAGGUCAGUUUGGGCAACUUUGUGAAGCCA